GCUGGCGGCGUGCCUAAUACAUGCAAGUCGAACGCAAACCUUCGGGUUUGAGUGGCGAACGGGUGAGUAACACAUGGGUAACCUACCCUUUAGAGGGGGAUAACGGAUGGAAACGUCUGCUAAGACCGCAUGGGCUUAGACAAGGCAUCUUGACUAAGUGAAAUAAGCGAUUAAGCUUAGCUAAAGGAUGGACCUGUGGCGCAUUAGCUAGUUGGUGGGGUAACGGCCUACCAAGGCGACGAUGCGUAGCCGGCCUGAGAGGGCGGACGGCCACACUGGGACUGAGACACGGCCCCAGACUCCUACGGGAGGCAGCAGUAGGGAAUUUUCGGCAAUGGAGGAAACUCUGACCGAGCAACGCCGCGUGAACGAAGAAGGCCUUCGGGUCGUAAAGUUCUGUUGUGAAGGAAGAAUGGCUAUAAGAGGAAAUGCUUAGAGAGUGACGGUACUUCACGAGAAAGCCACGGCUAACUACGUGCC
rnacentral:rRNA from 1 species